rnacentral:rRNA from 1 species
UACGUAGGGUGCGAGCGUUGUCCGGAUUUAUUGGGCGUAAAGAGCUUGUAGGCGGCUCGUCGCGUCGGGUGUGAAAACUUGCGGCUUAACCGCAAGCCUGCACCCGAUACGGGCGGGCUAGAGUUCGGCAGGGGAGACUGGAAUUCCUGGUGUAGCGGUGGAAUGCGCAGAUAUCAGGAGGAACACCGGUGGCGAAGGCGGGUCUCUGGGCCGAUACUGACGCUGAGACGCGAAAGCGUGGGGAGCGAACGGG